CAUUCGGACUAUUGCAGGCAUUAGAGCAUCCAGAGCUACGAAGGGCUGGCUGCAGCAGCACCUCCCUUUGUAAGCCAGCAGACCAGCCUUAACUGUGGGCUUGACUCCUGUGAGCUGGCCUCAGUGUGACUCAGAAAUGUUUGAUUAGCAGAUGAGAGAGCGAGGACACACCACGAGGGCUGCGUUCUCUUCCUCCAGCGCUGUGCAGGACAGUUUCUUCUCACCCUAGCCUUUUUAAAUGCACCAGAAGUACAGACAGUUGCACUACACAAACCCUUUGAACACUUGUAGAAAUCAGUCCACCGUAGAUUAGACAGAAUCACCUUCCAAUCCUUUGACUUCUUUUCCUUUCAUUUGAACAAUUGUAUAAUAAUUGACUAUUGUCAAAUUUUUGUCUGUGGUAGUAUCACUUUAAUUUAUCUUAGUACAUCAACGUUUUGAUUUAAAAAAGAAUUAAAACAACAAAAAAAGUCACUUAGAAGCCAUGAACUUUUUUUUUUGAUUGUCAAAUUUUCUUGUUUUGAAAAUUAUCAUUUGGGUUCACUCAGGAAAUGCAUGUCAAGAUUUGUAUUAUAAGUUAGCUGUGAUGUAUCAGUAACUGCUGGUUAUUACCCUUUUUUCAAGGAAAUUUAAUUGAUUUUGAAGUUUUUUGGUCACAACCUCCGUGACUAGGCAAGGAAACCAAGUCCUGUGUUGUGUUUUGUCAUUUCUGUUGAGGCUCUAUAUUGUAGCUUAAUUUUUAUUUGCAAUUAAUUUAUUCAAACUAAGUAAAUACUUUUCAAAAUAG
rnacentral:lncRNA from 1 species